rnacentral:misc_RNA from 1 species
GAUGAAGAACGUAGUGAAAUGCGAUACGUAAUGUGAAUUGCAGAAUUCAGUGAAUCAUCGAGUCUUUGAACGCACAUUGCGCCCCCUGGUAUUCCGGGGGGCAUGCCUGUCCGAGCGUCAUUGCUGCCCUCAAGCACGGCUUGUGUGUUGGGCCUCCGUCCUCCUCCCGGGGGACGGGCCCGAAAGGCAGCGGCGGCACCGCGUCCGGUCCUCGAGCGUAUGGGGCUUCGUCACCCGCUCUUGUAGGCCCGGCCGGCGCUUGCCGACACAUCAAUCUUUUUUCCAGGUUGACCUCGGAUCAGGUAGGGCUACCCGCUGAACUUAAGCAUAUCAAUAAGCGGAGGA